rnacentral:rRNA from 1 species
AGCAGCCGCGGUAAUUCCAGCUCCAAUAGCGUAUAUUAAAGUUGUUGCAGUUAAAAAGCUCGUAGUUGAAUUUCGGGAUCAAGGAAUCGGUCAUGCCUUGGUAUGUACUGGUUUUAUUGGUUCUCACCUUCUAAAGAACCAUAAUGUCAUUCAUUUGAUGUUAUGGGGAAUUAGGACUGUUACCUUGAAAAAAUUAGAGUGUUUAAAGCAGGCUUACGCUUGAAUACAUUAGCAUGGAAUAAUGAAAUAGGACAUCAGAUUCUAUUUUGUUGGUUUCUAGGAUCGAUGUAAUGAUUAAUAGGGAUAGUUGGGGGCAUUAGUGUUCAAUUGUCAGAGGUGAAAUUCUUGGAUUUAUUGAAGACUAAACUACUGCGAAAGCAUUUGCCAAGGAUGUUUUCAUUAAUCAAGAACGAAAGUUAGGGGAUCGAGACGAUCAGAUACGUCGUAGUCUUAACCAUAAACUAUGCCGACUAGGGAUCGGAUGAUGUUAAUUUUUAAUGACUCAUUC